rnacentral:rRNA from 1 species
GAGUUUGAUCGUGGCUCAGAACGAACGCUGGCGGCAUGCCUAACACAUGCAAGUCGAACGGGAUCCUGGCUUCGGUCAGGUGAGAGUGGCGGACGGGUGAGUAACGCGUGGGAACCUGCCCAGUGGUGGGGGAUAACUGCGGGAAACUGCAGCUAAUACCGCAUGAGCCCGAGAGGGGAAAGAUUUAGUCGCCAUUGGAGGGGCCCGCGUUCGAUUAGGUAGUUGGUGGGGUAAAGGCCUACCAAGCCGACGAUCGAUAGCUGGUCUGAGAGGAUGAUCAGCCACACUGGGACUGAGAUACGGCCCAGACUCCUACGGGAGGCAGCAGUGGGGAAUAUUGGACAAUGGGGGCAACCCUGAUCCAGCAAUGCCGCGUGAGUGAUGAAGGCC